CCUACGGGAGGCAGCAGUGAGGAAUAUUGGUCAAUGGGCGGGAGCCUGAACCAGCCAAGUAGCGUGCGGGAUGAAGGCACUACGUAUCGUAAACCGCUUUUGCACGGGGAUAACACCGUCCACUUGUGGAGGUAUGCGGGUACCGUAAGAAAAAGGACCGGCUAAUUCCGUGCCAGCAGCCGCGGUAAUACGGAGGAUGCGAGCGUUAUCCGGAUUCAUUGGGCUUAAAGGGAGCGUAGGCGGGCGUUUAAGUCAGCUGUAAAAGCCCGGGGCUCAACCCCGCCGCGCAGUUGAAACUGGGCGCCUUGAGUUCACAACAGGUAGGCGGAAUUCGUGGUGUAGCGGUGAAAUGCAUAGAUAUCACGCGGAACCCCGAUUGCGAAGGCAGCCUGCCGG
rnacentral:rRNA from 1 species